CCUACGGGUGGCAGCAGUGGGGAAUAUUGCUCAAUGGGCGAAAGCCUGACGCAGCGACGCCGCGUGAGGGAUGAAGGUCUUCGGAUUGUAAACCUCUUUUAGCAGGGAAGAACGGUCACUGUGCUAAUCAGUAGUGAAUUGACGGUACCUGCAAAGGAAGCACAGGCUAACUCCGUGCGAGCAGCCGCGGCAGUACGGAGGGUGGGAGCGUUAAUCGGAAUUACUGGGCGUGAAACGCUCGUAGUCGGUAUGGCAAGUCAAGGGUGAAAUCCUCGGGCUCAACGUGGGAACUGCCUUUGAAACUGGCAAACUGGAGUGUGUGAGAGGAAAGUGGAAUUCUAGGUGUAGGAGUGAAAUCCGUAGAUAUCUGGAGGAACA
rnacentral:rRNA from 1 species